rnacentral:rRNA from 1 species
CCAUCCAUCCCCUCACUCGCCGCCGCCGCUCAUUCCAAAUCCUCCUCGAUUUCCUCAGCCACCCAACCAGCCUCCACCUUCCCGAUCCACUCUACCCGAGCCAACCCGCAACACCACCUACCUCGCUCGAUCCCGAAUGGAUCAAGGCGCUGCUUUCGCUCCCACACCUCCUCUGGAUUCAUCCCGAGACCAACCAGGCCCCGAGCGACCUCGCUCCCCUGCCGUUGCCGGCAACCGCGUCACCAGGAUCCAGCAAGGAAGAAAGAUCCUCGCGCCAAGCAACCCUCCUGGCCGCCUCCCUCCUCCCGUGCUUCAAACCAGGGCGGAUUGGAACCAGUGCUUGAGCCCUCCUGUACCUCUCCUCGUGCUCGGUCGCCUCAACGUCGUCGUCCCCUUCGUCUUCCCCUUCCGUUCCUUCCUUCCUCCUUCCAUGCCGAACUCCCUCCAACUCCCUCUGUUUUUCUUUCACAGGGAGAACAAGACAAGCCGGCCUCCAUGGAUUUCGCACCGGAGCUCCAUUCACACCGGAUCCCCCUCUUCGACCUUCGCUGACUUCGUUCCGUGCCUCCCUGUGAUCGUCGGGGCCGCCAAGUCCCACACCGCCGCUGGUCUUCUACCUGUCGAGGAGAGGAGGACGAAGCCCCUGCCUCGAGCCACUCCACUGCCACCAUUCCUCUGCUUCGUCUGCUUCCAGCGGGACCACGAGGUGUGCCCGCAGCCCCAAGCUCACCGUCCUCCCGCCGGAGAGCUCCACUAGGAGCGCCGCCAGGCCUCUGCUCCCGUUCCCGUCACUCCGCCGAGCGCCAAGUCCCAUUCCGCCGUCGUCCGAAACCUCGCUGCCGUUUUCCUUCAGAUAUGAGCAGAUCAGCGCCACAUCCUGCUUCGUCUGAAUUGAAGACAGGCGCGCUGCCCUCGUGCGUUGACCGCGCAAGCGCUCCCCUGCCUCGUCUUCGCCAUGGGCCUCCAGCGCCAAGGCCCAUCCGCCGCUCUACUGCUUCCCUGGCCCAGCGCGCCCCUCUUCUCUCCGUUGUGGGCCUCAGCCCAAUGGGUGAGCUGCUCCCAAAUGCCUCUCUAUUAGCCCAAGAACAGAUUCGACCCGAUGUAUUUUUUUCUGCUAUGAACAAAUUUUGCUAUUUACAAAAAACUGCAUAUUUACAGAUUACCCCUUGCUCUUCAUGCAUUUAAUAACUCUCAAACCAUGCAUCCAUAUUAAACAAACUUUAUAUGAAACUUGCUUAGAAUUUUGUCUAGUUUAAUAAUAUGCAACUUUCAUGCAUGUUUGAAAUGUUUAAUAUGCUGUUUGGUUAAAUUUGCUCCUAUGCCAUGUUAAAAUGCUUUAAUUCAUAACUAAAUAACCGUAGCUCGAUUUCUAAUAAACUUUAUAUGUAAAUGGGUUAGAAUUUUGCCUAGUUUAACAUGGUGGCCUUACUUUGCAUGUUUAACAACUCUAAAACAUGGUUUAGGGCAGAACAGUACCAAACCUUAAAAUAUGCACAUGAGGAGUUUCGGAAUUGUUGUUUGUUAUUUCCGGCCUCAUUUAAACUUGACUAGUUAGGUAGUUUUAUUAUGCUUCACCCUCUUGCCAUGUUAAUCAACAUUUAAUCUUGUUGGGUACAUAAACGAGAGUGAACUAAAUAAGUCUUGUGGUGUUUUCUUCAAUAUGCAACUCCGUUGCAUAAUGAGCUCCACUUAAUUUGUAGGAUUGUUUGUGCACUUUCCAUGCCAUGCCUCAUUAAACUGGACAUGCAUCAUACUUGAUUGUGCAUCAUGCCAUGUUUAUGUGGUGGUUGUUUACUAUGUUGUGUGCUUCUUUCCGGUGUUGCUUCUUCGGGUUGGUUCCAGUAACAUCGUGUUUGUGAGGAUCCGUUCGACUACGUCCGUUUGUCUUCUUCAUGGACUCGUUCUUCUUCCUUGCGGUAUUUCAUGCAAGAUGACCAUACCCUCGAAAUCACUUCUAUCUUUGCUUGCUAGUUGCUCACUCUUUUGCUAUGCCUAUGCUGCGAUACCUACCACUUUCUUAUCAUGCCUCCCCUAUUGUUGAACCAAGCCUCUAACCCACCUUGUCCUAGCAAACCGUUGUUUGGCUAUGUUACCGCUUUGCUCAGCCCCUCUUAUAGCAUUGUUAGUUGCAGGUGAAGAUUGAAGUUUUGUUUUCUUGUUGGAACAUGGAGAUAUUGUUGCUUGUUGGAACAUGUUUACUUGUUGGGAUAUCACAAUACCUCUUAUUUUAAUUAACGCAUCUAUAUACUUGGUAAUGGGUGGAAGGCUUGGCCUUAUGCCUGGUGUUUUGUUCCACUCUUGCCGCCCUAGUUUCCGUCAUAUCGGUGUUAUGUUCCUGGAUUUUGUGUUCCUUACGCGGUUGGGUUAUAAUGGGAACCCCUUGACAGUUCGCCUUGAAUAAAACUCCUCCAGCAAUGCCCAACAUUCGUUUUACCAUUCUCCACCUAGCCUUUUCUUUCCCUUGGGUUCUGCAGACUCAAGGGUCAUCAUUAUUUUAACCCCCCCGGGCCAGUGCUCCUCUGAGUGUUGGUCCGACCGAGUAGACUGCAGGGCCACCUUGGGGCAACUUGAGGGUUGGUUUUACUCAUAGGAUGUCUCAUCUGAGUGUGCCUUGAGAACGAGAUAUGUGCAGCUCCUAUCGUGAUUUGUCGGCACAUUCGGACGGUGUUGCUGGACUUGUUUUACCAUUGUCGAGGAUGUCUUGUAACCUGGAUGCCGAGCCUUAUCGGAUUGUCUUGGGAGGAGGAAUAACCUUCGUUGACCGUGAGAGCUUGUGAUGGGCUAAGUUGGGACACCCCUGCAGGGUUUUGAACUUUCGAAAGCCGUGCCCGCGGUUAUGGGCAGAUGGGAAUUUGUUAAUGUCCGGUUGUAGAAAACCUGAAGUUGACCUUAAUUAAAAUGCACCAAGUGCGUGUGUAACCGUGAUGGUCUCUUCUUGGCGGAGUCCAGGAAGUGAACACGGUGUUGGAGUAAUGCUUGACGUAGGUUGUUCUAGGAUCACUUCUUGAUCAUAGUUGUUCGACCGUGAUUUUGCCUUCUCUUCUCGCUCUCUUUUGCGAAUAAGUUAGCCACCAUAUAUGCUAGUCGCUUGCUGCAGCUCCAGAUCAUACCUUUGCCUUACCUAUAAGCUUAAAUAGUCUUGAUCGCGAGGGUGUGAGAUUGCUGAGUCCCCGUGACUCACAGAUACUUCCAAAACCAGCUUGCAGGUGCCGUUGAACCGUGCAGAUGACGCAACCAAGCUCAAGGAGGAGCUCGAUGAAGAUCUUGUCCUUUAUGUUGUUCCGUUUUCUAGUUGAUCAGUAGUGGAGCCCAGUUGGGGUCGAUCGGGGAUCUGUGUAGCUUUCGGUGUAGUCUUCUUUUAUUUUGGUUCCGUAGUCGGACAUUGAUUGUAUCUGGUGGUUGUAAUGCUUUAUUCAUGUAUUUGUGUGAAGUGGCGAUUGUAAGCCAACUAUGUAUCUCUUCCCUUAUGUAUUACAUGGGUUGUGUGAAGAUUACCUCACUUGCGACAUUGCUUUCAAUGCGGUUAUGCCUCUAAGUCAUGCUUCGACACGUGGGAGAUAUAGCCGCAUCGAGGGCGUUACACCUGGGGACAUGCAUGUGGAGUUCAAAAAGUCAAGCCUCCCUAAUAGAGUAAAGAAACCUAAGAUCGAGUUUAUCCCUUUUCGCCUCUUGCAUGAAAACAAACAGGAACUAUGCAAAAAACGAUACUGAGACUGGAGCAGGAGAUCGAGGACCUAAGGGGCCAAAAUUCUGUCCUCAAGCGCAAAUUAAGGAGGAAGCCUACGCCAUGAACAAAACCACCAUCUUCU